rnacentral:lncRNA from 1 species
ACUCUAAGUCUUUUCUUAGGGUCUCUUCCAAAGUUUUCCUAGGUCUUCCUCUACCUCUUCGGCCCUGAACCUCUGUCCCGUAGUCACAUCUUCGAACCGGAGCGUCAGUAGGCAUUCUUUGCAUAUGUCCAAACCACCGUAACCGAUUUUCUUUCAUCUUUCCUUCAAUUUCGGCUACUCCUACUUUACCUCGGAUACCUUCAUUCCUACUUUACCUCGGAUAUCCUCAUUCCUAAUCUUAUCCUUUCUCGUGUGCCCACAUAUCCAACGAAGCA